rnacentral:rRNA from 1 species
UACGUAGGUGGCAAGCGUUGUCCGGAAUUACUGGGCGUAAAGGGUGCGCAGGCGGCUCCGCAUGUCGGGCGUGAAAUCCCCGGGCUUAACCUGGGAAUUGCGUCCGAAACUAUGGAGCUGGAGUGUGGCAGAGGGAGGUGGAAUUCCACGUGUAGCGGUGAAAUGCGUAGAGAUGUGGAGGAACACCGAUGGCGAAGGCAGCCUCCUGGGCCAACACUGACGCUCAUGCACGAAAGCGUGGGGAGCAAACAGG